AACGAACGCUGGCGGCAGGCUUAACACAUGCAAGUCGAGCGCCCCGCAAGGGGAGUGGCAGACGGGUGAGUAACGCGUGGGAAUCUACCCAGAUCUUCGGAACAACUGAGGGAAACUUCAGCUAAUACCGGAUACGCCCUACGGGGGAAAGAUUUAUCGGAUUUGGAUGAGCCCGCGUUGGAUUAGCUAGUUGGUGGGGUAAUGGCCUACCAAGGCGACGAUCCAUAGCUGGUCUGAGAGGAUGAUCAGCCACACUGGGACUGAGACACGGCCCAGACUCCUACGGGAGGCAGCAGUGGGGAAUAUUGGACAAUGGGCGAAAGCCUGAUCCAGCCAUGCCGCGUGAGUGAUGAAGGCCUUAGGGUUGUAAAGCUCUUUCAGUAGGGAAGAUAAUGACGGUACCUACAGAAGAAGCCCCGGCUAACUUCGUG
rnacentral:rRNA from 1 species